UAGGGAAUCUUCCGCAAUGGGCGAAAGCCUGACGGAGCAACGCCGCGUGAGUGAUGAAGGUCUUCGGAUCGUAAAACUCUGUUAUUAGGGAAGAACAAAUGUGUAAGUAACUAUGCACGUCUUGACGGUACCUAAUCAGAAAGCCACGGCUAACUACGUGCCAGCAGCCGCGGUAAUACGUAGGUGGCAAGCGUUAUCCGGAAUUAUUGGGCGUAAAGCGCGCGUAGGCGGUUUUUUAAGUCGGAUGUGAAAGCCCACGGCUCAACCGUGGAGGGGCAUUGGAAGCUGGAAAACUUGAGUGCAGAAGAGGAAAGUGGAAUUCCAUGUGUAGCGGUGAAAUGCGCAGAGAUAUGGAGGAACACCAGUGGCGAAGGCGACUUUCUGGUCUGUAACUGACGCUGAUGUGCGAAAGCGUGGGGAUCAAACAGG
rnacentral:rRNA from 1 species